GCAUAACGCGAAGAACCUUACCCACCUUUGACAUGGCAGGAACUUACCAGAGAUGGUUUGGUGCUCGAAAGAGAACCUGCACACAGGUGCUGCAUGGCUGUCGUCAGCUCGUGUCGUGAGAUGUUGGGUUAAGUCCCGCAACGAGCGCAACCCUUGCCAUUAGUUGCUACAUUCAGUUGAGCACUCUAAUGGGACUGCCGGUGACAAACCGGAGGAAGGUGGGGAUGACGUCAAGUCCUCAUGGCCCUUAUAGGUGGGGCUACACACGUCAUACAAUGGCUGGUACAAAGGGUUGCCAACCCGCGAGGGGGAGCUAAUCCCAUAAAGCCAGUCGUAGUCCGGAUCGCAGUCUGCAACUCGACUGCGUGAAGUCGGAAUCGCUAGUAAUCGUGGAUCAGAAUGUCACGGUGAAUACGUUCCCGGGUCUUGUACACACCG
rnacentral:rRNA from 1 species